rnacentral:rRNA from 1 species
AACGCUGGCGGCAGCCUAACACAUGCAAGUCGAACGGCAGCACAGAGGAGCUUGCUCCUUGGGUGGCGAGUGGCGGACGGGUGAGGAAUACGUCGGAAUCUGCCUAUUUGUGGGGGAUAACGUAGGGAAACUUACGCUAAUACCGCAUACGACCUACGGGUGAAAGUGGGGGACCUUCGGGCCUCACGCAGAUAGAUGAGCCGACGUCGGAUUAGCUAGUUGGCGGGGUAAAGGCCCACCAAGGCGACGAUCCGUAGCUGGUCUGAGAGGAUGAUCAGCCACACUGGAACUGAGACACGGUCCAGACUCCUACGGGAGGCAGCAGUGGGGAAUAUUGGACAAUGGGCGCAAGCCUGAUCCAGCCAUGCCGCGUGUGUGAAGAAGGCCUUCGGGUUGUAAAGCACUUUUGUCCGGAAAGAAAAGCUUAGGGUUAAUAACCCUGAGUCAUGACGGUACCGGAAGAAUAAGCACCGGCUAACUUCGUGCCAGCAGCCGCGGUAAUACGAAGGGUGCAAGCGUUACUCGGAAUUACUGGGCGUAAAGCGUGCGUAGGUGGUUUGUUAAGUCUGAUGUGAAAGCCCUGGGCUCAACCUGGGAAUGGCAUUGGAAACUGGCUUACUAGAGUGCGGUAGAGGGUAGUGGAAUUCCCGGUGUAGCAGUGAAAUGCGUAGAUAUCGGGAGGAACAUCUGUGGCGAAGGCGACUACCUGGACCAGCACUGACACUGAGGCACGAAGGCGUGGGGAGCAAACAGGAUUAGAUAUCCUGGUAGUCCACGCCCUAAACGAUGCGAACUGGAUGUUGGGGGCAACUUGGCCCUCAGUAUCGAAGCUAACGCGUUAAGUUCGCC